CAUAUUUUGAACAGACACUGCACUUGUCUAUCUAACACUAACAUUAAUGUGAUUCAUUCACAGAAGCAGCAGUGGAGGUCCUGAAGGAAGAGGUUGUUGCUGCACCUGAGAUGGACAAGAUGAUGAAAGAUGAGGAAGAACUUGUGCCAGAAGAAUUUGUCCCUGUUCCCAGAAACGCACCUGUGUCUGAGGAGGCAGCAGCAUCUGAAU